rnacentral:rRNA from 1 species
CCUACGGGAGGCAGCAGUGGGGAAUAUUGGACAAUGGGCGAAAGCCUGAUCCAGCCAUGCCGCGUGUGUGAAGAAGGUCUUCGGAUUGUAAAGCACUUUAAGUUGGGAGGAAGGGCAGUUGCUUAAUACUUGGCAAUUUUGACGUUACCGACAGAAUAAGCACCGGCUAACUCUGUGCCAGCAGCCGCGGUAAU